GAACUGUUGAAUAUACGUUGAAUUUGACGAUUUAAGAGAGAUAAAAAUGAAUAAAUGGUAUUUUUUUUAUUUUGAUUUUUAAUAGAAAAUUUGUUGUGGUACUUUAGGAGGGAAAUCAUAUAGAUGGAGUGGGCAACGGAAAAAGAGUAAUGAGAUACAGAGCAUUAGAAGUAUGCAAUUAGUCUGUUUAGUUUUGAAUUGAACUGAAAAAACUGAGAAACUGAAAUGUAUUUUAUGUAAGUCUCAACCGAAUCAAAUAGAAAUAAAUAGGUUUGGUUUAGUUCAUUGGUUUUCUUUCAAUUUCAAGAAACCAAAUAGAAUCCAAGAUUUCUUCUAGAAACAAAACCUAGUUCUUCCCAUUUCAACGAUCAAACAAAUCAACCUCACAAUUAAGCAAUUUACAACAAAUAAUUGCAAUUAACAAUCUGACAAACUAAUGAAUCUUCCAAUAACAAUCAACAAAGCUCAAAGUCAAGCAAUUAAAAAAGAAAAUAAAUAGAAAAAAAAUAGAUCCAUAAAAAACACUGAGAGUCAAUCUCUCAAGAGCUCAAAUUAGACUCAACGGUGCUCAUUUUGCUACGACGAAAGUUGAGAAUCACAAAAUGGGCAUGAAGAUAGGUGGGAAGGACUUAACUCGCACAAGGUAUGGUUGGGUUAGGCAUUUCUAGAGGAUGCAACGCGAUGCGACUGACGUUGAGGCACAGGUAAGGAUGUGAUGUAGUCAUCGAGACAGAGGCUGUGAUAUCGAAGCUGGGGCAAAGGCAAGUCCAUGUCAUCGAGGUAGAUAUCUAUGGCUUAGGAAGGAGGAACAAGAAAUUGAGGAAGAAGAACAAGACUCUUGUUAAAAGAGGGGAGUGGGACUAGAAUGGAGGAAGGAAAAUGAAAAUUGUGAAAGGUGGAAGGAAAAAAAAAUGAAAGGAGAGAGUAGAACUCAAGGCAUAAGCAAGCUGGAGAGAUGAGAUGAGAAGCAGAGGAGGCCUUAGAUAUCACUAUCCAGAAUGAUAAUGUAUUGCUAAUACAAAAUUUCAGUCAUCUCCGUUAAUUAGAUUAUUUUGAAUGAAUUAACCGAACUAAAUCAAAAGCUAAAAUUUUUUUAAAAUAAAUUGAGAUCAAAAAUAUAUAUUAGGCUCGAAUUGAGUUCAUUAGCCAGGUUAGAAUUAUGCGAAAGUCCAGCUUUAAUUAAGCUAACUAACAAAUGUUGGAUCACAGUGGCUGAGUUAGGAGAUCUGCUCUUAUAUUAUUAUUAUGGAAUCUAUUGAGUGUGUGAUGCUUGUAUAUCUCCACCAGAAAGAUGGCACUAGAUUUAGGCUAGUCAUAAAUGUUGUACGAAUAUUCAAUACCUAUUCUCAAUUUUUUUUUUCCAGGUAACAAAUGGAAGUUAGCUUUAUAACUUGGCAUCCAUGCAUCUCUCCAUUACAAGUUAGUAGACUCUGCCAAGUUACUUUAGAGUCUGUAAAAUGUGUUAUGUGUUUACGUAUGUGUUAUGGAUUUCCUUAGACAUGAUUAUGUGAGUUUAAUAUAAUUCCUCACUUGUGGAUAUUGUAUUUGAGAUGGAGAACUACAAGUUGAGAUUGAGUAUAUAUGUAAGUUGAGAUCAUGACACUAACACUGCCUAAAAAGUUUUUGACUCUCAUACUUUUUGAAAUUUGAAUACAAUACCUUUCUUAACUAUAGAAAUAUUUUAAAACACUUACAGAAAAAGUCAAGAAUUUCGAAACUCUAACUAUUUUUAAAUAUUCAAUUUGAAAAGUGUUUUCACACUUUUAUCAUUAAUACUUUGUUUAUCAUUUACACAUUUUUAUGAGAUAAAAU
rnacentral:misc_RNA from 1 species